CCACAGACUCACUCACUCCAGGGGUAGGUGAGCCACUGACCCAUGCACAUUGUGCUUUCUCUGACCAACUGUGCGUGUGACAGCGGCUAACUUGCUUUUAGGACAACAACAAUUGGGAGA
rnacentral:pre_miRNA from 17 species